GGCACUGUUCAUACUCUAACUCACACAAACCCGCUCUGCGGACCAGCUACAGCUCAUUGAGAGUGGAUAAAUGCUCGCACUGAAGUAAGCAGCGAUCCACAGGGAUCUGUAUUUUCUCUGUCAGGCUAAAAACUACGAAUCAUCACAGUAUGAAGCAUAGACGGUUGCUUUGCCUUCAGCCUCUCCUGCCCACCAUCACAGAGACCUUGGAAGACUCCACUACAGCCCACCCGGUACACACAGCCCAGUCCCAGCCUCUAACUCAGGGCUCCCAGUCCCUAGAGGAGUACAUGGCCAGUAUCCAGGCUCUGGCCAGACCAGUGUUACCUCCUAGCUGUGGCCCUGUGAGACUCCAGAGAGCGGCCAGGCCAAGGCUUAUCUCCAAGGCCCAGAUGAAGCACUCUGUGUCAGCCACGCUGCCCCGAGACUCCUGCCGGGCCAACUGGAAUAGAACCACCAGCCCCAUCACCAGUAAAAGCCAAAGCCCUGAGCACCUAUCGGGCACGCUGAUAAUGGAGAAGGAAUGUGCGGGGAGAGACCCCAUGGAAUGGCUGUAUGGACAAAGACACACACAAACUGAGACAAGAACACACACACCGAGCAGGACACGGACGCGGACACAUGCCCGUUUAAGGGAGAAUGUUCCAGCAGCUCUGUGGGUGUUCUAAAACUAAAUACAACACAUCAGGGAACACUUCAGCUGGCUUUGACCCAUGAUGUGUGGCUAUGUCCACCAAAUAGCCCACUGAUGGGUUCUAAAAUUGACGUGAUUGAGUUGGUCUGGCUGUGAAUAGAUGAUGCAAUACUAAUUUUGAAACGCUACAGUGGAUAUUUAUUUACUGGGAAUAACGUUUUACAGGAUUAAUGUUUACAAUACAUGGAGUGUAAUUUAAGAGAUUAUUUUAUUUUGUAAUAAAGUACUUUUGUAAGGA